rnacentral:rRNA from 1 species
UGGUGGAGUGAUUUGUCUGGUUAAUUCCGAUAACGAACGAGACCUCAGCCUGCUAACUAGUUGCGAUUCUUUGAGUCGUGGACUUCUUAGAGGGACUUUGGAGGCUACUCCAAGGAAGUGUGAGGCAAUAACA